rnacentral:rRNA from 19 species
GGGUUGUGAGGUUAAGCGACUAAGCGUACACGGUGGAUGCCCUGGCAGUCAGAGGCGAUGAAGGACGUGCUAAUCUGCGAUAAGCGCCGGUAAGGUGAUAUGAACCGUUAUAACCGGCGAUUUCCGAAUGGGGAAACCCAGUGUGAUUCGUCACACUAUCAUUAACUGAAUCCAUAGGUUAAUGAGGCGAACCGGGGGAACUGAAACAUCUAAGUACCCCGAGGAAAAGAAAUCAACCGAGAUUCCCCCAGUAGCGGCGAGCGAACGGGGAGGAGCCCAGAGCCUGAAUCAGCAUGUGUGUUAGUGGAAGCGUCUGGAAAGGCGCGCGAUACAGGGUGACAGCCCCGUACACAAAAGCGCAUGUGCUGUGAGCUCGAUGAGUAGGGCGGGACACGUGGUAUCCUGUCUGAAUAUGGGGGGACCAUCCUCCAAGGCUAAAUACUCCUGACUGACCGAUAGUGAACCAGUACCGUGAGGGAAAGGCGAAAAGAACCCCGGCGAGGGGAGUGAAAAAGAACCUGAAACCGUGUACGUACAAGCAGUGGGAGC